rnacentral:lncRNA from 1 species
CACCUGUUAUGGUAAUAGUGUGAGAUCACAUUACCGCCAGCACAGUGGUUCUAUUCAGUCUCAGUGAAUCGUUAUUUGGUAGACUAAAUGGAGUCUUCGAUAUAGGAUUGCUAAUAGGCACACUCUGCAGUAGUUGGUAUGGUGAUAUUAAUGGCAGGAAUGGCUACAGGUAAAUUCUGUACACCAUUUAAGUAAUGUAGCUAUAUCUCCUACUGCUUAGUAAGGAAACAGACCUGAUGCAUAGUCAUAUCAGAUACUUUAUGAGGUGGAGAAAAUAGGGGAUAAGGAAGGUUGAAAGAAAUAAGGGUUUAGUGACUUGCCCUUCCGUGCUCUAAGGGCACCAGGGACAGAGGAAAAGGGGAAUAAGAAAGGGAAAUAAAAGAAAGAAAAUGACUUUCCCUAUUGUGCCUUCGUGGGCACCCCUUACCCUAAAGAAAAUCCCUAUCCUGUUAAUGCUCGUCACCCCAACCACCCCUGUAGUGAAAUGUAGAAAAUUAAGCACUGUUACCUGGCACUUAUGACUAUACACCUUUGACUAUUUUGGCACGGCACUUUACCUGUUCCGUUGGCGACAAGGCUAUUACGGAUUUGGCUAGCCAUUUCACUACAGGGGUGGUCUACCAAAUAACUAUUCACUGAGACUGAAUAGGACCACUGUGCUGGCAGUAAUGUGAUCUCACACUAUUACCAUAACAGGUGAUGUGUCCAAGCAUUCCAAG